GAUGAACGCUGACAGAAUGCUUAACACAUGCAAGUCAACUGUGGCGGACGGGUGAGUAACGCGUAAAGAACUUGCCUCACAAUUAGGGACAACAUUUGGAAACGAAUGCUAAUACCUGCUACUGUGAGAGAGCUUUGCGUCCCAUUAGCUAGUUGGCGAGGUAACGGCUCCGAAAGGCGAGGAUGGGUAGCCGGACUGAGAGGGUGAUCGGCCACAAGGGGACUGAGACACAGCCCUUAGUCCUACGGGAGGCAGCAGUGGGGAAUAUUGGACAAUGGACCAAAGUGUGAUCCAGCAAUUCUGUUUGCACGAUGAAGUUUUCGGAAUGUAAAGUGCUUUCAGUUGGGAAGCGGUACCAAAAGAAUAAGUGACGGCUAAAUACGUGCCAGCAGCCGCGGUAAUAG
rnacentral:rRNA from 1 species